GAUGAACGCUGGCGGCGUGCCUAAUACAUGCAAGUCGAGCGAACAGACGAGGAGCUUGCUCCUCUGACGUUAGCGGCGGACGGGUGAGUAACACGUGGAUAACCUACCUAUAAGACUGGGAUAACUUCGGGAAACCGGAGCUAAUACCGGAUAAUAUAUUGAACCGCAUGGUUCAGUAGUGAAAGACGGUUUUGCUGUCACUUAUAGAUGGAUCAGCGCCGCAUUAGCUAGUUGGUAAGGUAACGGCUUACCAAGGCAACGAUGCGUAGCCGACCUGAGAGGGUGAUCGGCCACACUGGAACUGAGACACGGUCCAGACUCCUACGGGAGGCAGCAGUAGGGAAUCUUCCGCAAUGGGCGAAAGCCUGACGGAGCAACGCCGCGUGAGUGAUGAAGGUCUUCGGAUCGUAAAACUCUGUUAUUAGGGAAGAACAAAUGUGUAAGUAACUAUGCACGUCUUGACGGUACCUAAUCAGAAAGCCACGGCUAACUACGUG
rnacentral:rRNA from 1 species